GAAAUCAAAUCUAUUUCAGAGGAACUUCAUCUUUUACACCAUUACCCUCGCAACUAGGGGCCACUAUGCAGCUAUAAUCAAGGUUCAAUUAUACUACCGGAUGGAACAUUCAUAUAGCUGAAGAAACAUGAAAACCGAGACAGCAACAAAUACAAACAGAGCCUGAUAAUAUAAGGUAGAUUUCAUUGCGUCUUUAGAUUGUACCAAAAACUCAAAAGCAAUUCAAACAUACUAGUGGCACGAGCGCAAGACAAGACCCACAAAGUGCCUCGCUGAACAUAAUGAACGUCAAUAUAACAGCGACAUCUCAGUCUACUGGACUAGAAAUCAGGUGUUUGUGGCCCUGGUGAAGAUCUGCUGGCUGGAGUGGAUUGACACCAUCCUGAUGAGCCCCCUCUCCAUCAGGUCCUUGAUGGCCCUGCGAGCCAGUGACCCGUUGAUCUGCAGGUAGGUAGACACAGGGUGAGUAACAUCAUCAGCACCAUUUAUAAAGCAAACAGACACAGACGAUACACUAAUAUACAUUGUGCUAACUUGAAAAUGCCAGAAGAGUUAAAAAUUAUUAAAUCGAGAGCAGUCACAAAUUGGAUGCACAGUCCUCAAAUCAAUCAGUAGUUGUAAUGUACAGUUCAAUGGGAACUGUCAGGCACAAAUUGUUGACACUAAGAUGCAGGGGAAGGUUAAUUUAGUGUUCAGCAGCAUCGUCAAACCACAUUUAACUCUAUGAAACAUUACAAAUCAAUGGCGAUGUUGAAUCACGUAUAACACCAUUAGGCAUUAGCACUGCGCAUGUCCAAAUCAGAUUAUGAAAUAUCUGUGACACCAGACAUAAAUGAUCACCACUGCCCUCUGCAUCCUAGCUACAACAUGGCACACCAAGCAAAAUCUGCACAGAAACUACCACCAAAGAUGAAGGAGCCGAACGAGAAUCCAGCAUCGAAUCUAUCCACAACGCAAUCAUGUACGCCCUAUCUAGACAGGCUUCGAGCGCGCGGGUGUGACCUUGUUCCUGCUCAGAGUACCACUGACUGACUGACCCCAAAACAGAGAUCUUGUUCUUGCUUAGAGCAGAACACUUCACCGGGAGCCAUGAUGCAUCACACACAUAUCCUACCAUCCCGAGAUCUCAAUUCUGACGAAGGUAAGUAAAGAAGAAGAGAUCCGGCGGAGGGAGGGAGGGAGGGAGGGAGGGAGGGAGGAGGUUACCCUGAGGCGCUCGGAGAGGACGGAGGGCGUGAUCUGCUUGUACUUGGGCACCUCGGUGAGCAGCUUGUCGUAGGUGGCCUGGUCGAAGAGCACCGCGUUGUUCACCUUCUCCUUUUGCUUGCCCUUGCU
rnacentral:lncRNA from 1 species